rnacentral:rRNA from 1 species
AUUGAACGCUGGCGGCAGGCCUAACACAUGCAAGUCGAGCGAGCGGCGGACGGGUGAGUAAUGUAUGGGGACUGCCCGAUAGAGGGGGAUAACUACUGGAAAAGGUGGCUAAUACCGCAUACUAUCGGAUAACCCAUAUGGGAUUAGCUAGUAGGUGGGGUAAAGGCUCACCUAGGCGACGAUCUCUAGCUGGUCUGAGAGGAUGAUCAGCCACACUGGGACGGAGAAACGGCCUAGACGCCUACGGAGGCAGCGGUGGGGAAUAUUGCACAAUGGGCGCAAGCCUGAUGCAGCCAUGCCGAGUGAAUGAAGAAGGCCUUAGGGUUGUAAAGUAAUUUCAGCGGGGAGGCGUUGCCCGAAGAAGAAGCACCGGCUAACUCCGUGCCAGCAGGCGCGGUAAUUC